CCACUCCUCCUCUCUUCUUUGCUUUUACGCUUUUUUUCCAUUUAAGAGCUAUUCUAUCUAUUUUUCACUUUUUCUUUGUUGUUCUUUUUCUCCCAUGUUCAUUAUCUUUUUUUAAAUUCCUAUAAUGAAAUCAUUCCUAUAAUGAAAUUCUCCAAAAGGCUCAUACACCCUCAUACACUCUCAAACAAGUUCUCAUUCUCCAGAUCUUAGAAGUUACAUAGCUCGUAUAUGGAAGAGAUAAAUUUAUAUUGUAAUAGAUUAUAUUAGUUCAAUGCGAUGAAAUUUCUUCCAUCUUGUCCUUAGAGAGUAUAGAGUCUACAUUAUGGAGAUAGGAAAAUGCAACGGGCAUUAUUUUUUUUAUCUCUAAUUGAAACUAUUUUUCUAGGAAAAGGAUGGGGGAAUUUCAUCCUUUGAACUAUAACAACGAGCCAACUGUGCGAAAAUUGAACAAAAAAUGCUUCAACAACUCGACGAGAACUAGCACAUUGUGUUGGGCAGCGGAGUGGAAGCCGACAAAAUGUGAGGGCUCCUCCAGUGUGUGAUGAUGAUGCGGACGACCCCUAUGAAGUGUAUGGUGAGGGCGAAGAUGAUGAUGAUGAUGACGGGCUCGAGAUGGAUGAUUGAUGCUUAUGAUGCUUGUUGUGUGUUUUCUUUACUAUUAUGUUAUGGUUUGUAUGACUUUGGGAGGUUUUCCAUGCUUCCCGACACAAUAUUUAGUUUCCUGCACGGUUUGUAAUAUUAUUAAGUACACUUUCUAUUU